rnacentral:rRNA from 1 species
GAUGAACGCUGGCGGCGUGCCUAAUACAUGCAAGUCGAGCGAAUGGAUUAAGAGCUUGCUCUUAUGAAGUUAGCGGCGGACGGGUGAGUAACACGUGGGUAACCUGCCCAUAAGACUGGGAUAACUCCGGGAAACCGGGGCUAAUACCGGAUAACAUUUUGAACCGCAUGGUUCGAAAUUGAAAGGCGGCUUCGGCUGUCACUUAUGGAUGGACCCGCGUCGCAUUAGCUAGUUGGUGAGGUAACGGCUCACCAAGGCAACGAUGCGUAGCCGACCUGAGGAGGGGAUCGGCCACACUGGGACUGAGACACGGCCCAGACUCCUACGGGAGGCAGCAGUAGGGAAUCUUCCGCAAUGGACGAAAGUCUGACGGAGCAACGCCGCGUGGGUGAUGAAGGCUUUCGGGUCGUAAAACUCUGUUGUUAGGGAAGAACAAGUGCUAGUUGAAUAAGCUGACACCUUGACGGUACCUAACCAGAAAGCCACGGCUAACUACGUGCCAGCCGCCGCGGUAA